UAAUAAUAACCACAGCAACCAAGAAGAGUGCCUGAGGAGCCCAGCUGAGUAGCGAGAGACGAGAGGGCAGCGAGCACGGGGUGCUCAUCACGGAGAAGCGGAGACAGGAGCACUAACACUGGGAAGAGGACACGUCACGGGAGUCGGGAGAGCACGGGAUUUAUUGUCAUGUUUUUCCAUCACUGUAAAUAAACGCACUGCUUGUACUAAGA